UACAGGGGGUGCAAGCGUUGUCCGGAAUUAUUGGGCGUAAAGAGCUCGUAGGCGGUGUGUCGCGUCGGCCGUGAAAACCUGCAGCUUAACUGUGGGCUUGCGGUCGAUACGGGCAUCACUGGAGUUCGGCAGGGGAGACUGGAAUUCCUGGUGUAGCGGUGAAAUGCGCAGAUAUCAGGAGGAACACCGAUGGCGAAGGCAGGUCUCUGGGCCAUAACUGACGCUGAGAAGCGAAAGCAUGGGGAGCGAACAGG
rnacentral:rRNA from 1 species